UCCCCAGCCGCGGUCCCGACCUGACUGACACUUGCCCCCGCCCCACCCUCAGGAACGCCGAGCCCCGGGCCCUUGACCACGCCCCCUUGUCGCGUCUCUAUUGGGCAACGCCUACACAGCCCUCAUCCGAUUGGCCUUCGCCUCUACCUCAGUGAAGCUCCCACCCACCCCGCGGCGUCCGAUUGGCCGGAGAGCGAGCUAGGUCGCUGGAGUCCCCGUCAGGCGUAGCGGCACCUCCCCUGGCCCGCCUCCGAAAGAGAGGCUUUGCGUGUUGAUUCGUCCAUAUAUCGGUCAAGCUAGAGAAUCCUUAGUAUUAUUGGAUAAAAGACGAGUCAAUCACUUAAAUAGGGACAGGGAGAGGAGGUGGAUCUACGAAGAUCCCCGCCCACAGAAAGUGCUGAUUGGCGACGGAGCGGCGGCGCUUGGUUCCCUAGCAACCGGGGGACGCUGUUGCUGCACAGACCCAGCCCGGAAGCCGGCGCCUGAGAGGAGAGGAGAGGAGACCCGGGUGGACAGCGGGGAGAGAGGGAACAUGAGCCGGCUGCACAACUCCAUAGAGCCGCGCGUGAUGGACGACGAGAUGCUGAAGCUGGCCGUGAGCGAGCAGGGGCCCGCGAGGAGGCCGGGCAGCUGGCCAAGCAGGAGGGCAUCCUCUUCAAAGAUGUCCUGACCCUGCGGCUGGACUUCCAGAACAUCCUGCACAUUGACAACCUCUGGCAGUUCGAGAACCUGCGCAAGCUGCAGCUGGACAACAACAUCAUCGAGAGGAUCGAGGGCCUGGAAAACCUCGUCCACCUGGUCUGGCUGGGUGAGGCCCCUUCUGCGCAUGCGUCUGCUCCC